rnacentral:rRNA from 1 species
UACGUAGGGUCCGAGCGUUGUCCGGAAUUUAUUGGGCGUAAAAGGGCUCGUAGGCGGUUUUGUCGCGUCGGGGAGUGAAAAACACGGGGGCUUAACCCCCCGUGCCUGCUUCCGAUACGGGGCAGACUAGAGGUAUGCAGGGGGAGAACGGAAUUCCUGGUGUAGCGGUGAAAUGCGCAGAUAUCAGGAGGAACACCGAUGGCGAAGGCAGGGUCUCUGGGCCACUACUGACGCUGAGAAGCGAAAGCAUGGGGAGCGAAACAGGG